rnacentral:rRNA from 1 species
UGAGAAUCCCACAGGCCGUAAACCCAAGGUUUCCAGGGGAAGGUUCGUCCGCCCUGGGUUAGUCGGGACCUAAGCUGCGGCCGAAAGGCGUACGCGAUGGACAACAGGUUGAUAUUUCUGUACUACCACUACUUCUUUGAGAGAUGGGAUGACUCAGUAGGAUAAGCUAAGCACACUGUUGGUUAUGUGUGCCCAAGCAUUGAGG